UUUUGUAUUCAUUGUUGCUGAGUAGAUUGCUUAUUUGUGUUCUGCCUCGACUUUGAAUGACUUUUUUCGUGCAUGUCUAUGAUUAUUAAUUGAUUGGUGGGUUAUGCUCUGAAACAUGUUGCCCUUCGCAACUUAAAGUAUAUAUUAACUUAGCCUUCACAAUAUCAUUCAGGUUUUUUACCUAAGCUGUCUAUGUUAGCUCUAAUCUUUGGUUACUUUGCUAUCUUUAGCAUAUGUUGGUUAUGAUUUUUUCAUGUAGAUGUUUCUCAAUGUUCAACACUACUUUGGUGCAUGUCUAUGAUUCUUUUUUCUUUAGACUUUACCUUUCCUGUGUAUUAUAUUUGGGAGGGUAUUUGGAGAAAUCUAACAUGUUGCAAUAUUUGGAGAAAUCUAACAUGUUGAGGCAACCCUUCACAAGGCAAGACAACACUGUCAUCCAAACUUGUGUUCUUGCAUCCUCUGCAUAGCCUUUAUCGGUAACGUAUAGACGCCUACAAAAUCCCAUCAGCAGAUUUUUUGGAAUUUUUGUUUAUACAGGGCCCAUCAAAUUUACGAGUACCGAGAAUUGUGCACCGAUUUUACGCGUCAUUCCAUCUUGAGCAGGUCACGACUUUCACCCCUAAACAUUUACUUAUUUAUGUUAAUAUCAAAUAAAUAAUAUGCUUCAAAUGUUAAUCUACAGAACAUCGUUGAGGUUCCUUUUGCUUAUCAUAGACAAUGGUCCCCAAAUUAUCCAAGUUAUGUGUUAUUUGACUACGAAGGAGACAAACACUUUAUAAAGUUUCAUAAAUAUGGUAACCGAUUCUUUUUUGGUGAUGGACUGAAGGAACUUAGGAGAACCCAUGGCAUUCACGAAAGUGUUCUGAUGCGUUUUGUUGGAAGGGACAAAAAUACUACUUUCAGUGUGGACGUUGUGGGACCUCUACACCAAAGGGCAGCCACAACCAUAAGGCACCAUGUUUUUACCAUUGAUGUCUCUAAAGAUAUGAUACAACACAAUUAUCAAUUGGUUCUGCCACCAGAGACUUCAAUUUAUUUAACUGCAUCAAAAAAAUAUGAUUGUAGAUCGUGGUAGUGGUAAGCAUCACAAAUGGAUGAUCACCAUGAAUAAUGGCCUAUCAUGUGUUGCUGACGCGUGGAUCCAUUAUUUAGGUGACUGUCAUUUGAAGCCUGGAGAUGAGGUCAUCUUCUUCUACAACAUUGACCAACAUUUAUAGGAGGUCCUCUAUAGGAAGCAAGUUAAAUGGGAUGACGAAGAGGAUGAAGCUGAAUCCCCUUGAAGAACUAUUUAAUUACUUAUCUUUGUUUUAUUUUGAUAUAUUAUGUCUGUAACUUAAUUACCCUUGGGUAAUGAACAAUGUUAUUUUACUUUUGUUUCUAUUUAAACAUUGCUAGCAACACUACAAAUAUUAUUUUGUUAUAUUCUAUGUUUGUCGGUUUGAUUUUUC